rnacentral:tRNA from 1 species
CACAUUAUAAUUUAUUAAAAUAUAAAACUGCAAAUUUUAAAAUACUAUUUUAGUUAAUGUGU